AUGGCUUGUGGAGUCCAUUUGGGGAUAUUCCUGCUUUGCUUCAUUCAAGCAGAGCAUGUGCGCUGUUUGUGGGCUUCACAAGCUCAGAAACAAAAUGACAACACAUAUGUUGGCUUCUCGCAACAGCAACGUGGAUUCGGUCACUAUCCCCAGAAUCAAGUCAGACAGGCCUCUCCGAGCUCAGCGCGGAGCAGUAGCCUCAGCGCACAGAGUGCAGUUAUUGGAGGGUCUAGCCGGAGACUGAAUCAGGUCAAUGCACAAAAGAGUCCAACUGGGCAUAUUUUUGGCCUUUCCUCUUCUAUUGUUAGUGGCAGUUCUAUGAGUAAGUACGAUCAAAGCAGCAAAACACCAGUCUAUUCUCCCGCAAUGCAGUCUUCCACGCUUUUUAGUGAAAGUGCCCCUGUGCCUCACAAAAGCCCUCCACGGACCAAGACAUCCUCCAGUGCCAUGGGUAAAAGGGUGUCUAAAGAGUUUAAAUCUUCCACUUUCAGCAAACCCCAUGCAGGCUUACAGCCACGCCGUCACAAGUUGAGCUCCACUAAGCAGAUUCCCAGCAGUACGAACUCUCUCCAAGCAUCCUGGAACAGAGAGGGUAACCUCCAUGCCUCCGGGAGUGGAAGUGCAGGAACCUCUGGUAAACUCUUUGCCCCAACAAAAACCCACAACAUCCCUCAGCGUUUCGGUGGCGCAAUUAUCAGACGGCUGAAAAAUCCUGUUAACCAGAUAAUGAGUGUCGGGAAGCCCCAGCGCAAGGCUUCCCAGCAGACCUACGUUCCUCCCCAGCGCAAGGCUUCCCAGCAGACCUACGUUCCUCCCCAGCGCAAGGCUUCCCAGCUGGCCUACGUUCCUCCCCAGCGCAAGGCUUCCCAGCAGGCCUACGUUCCUCCCCAGCGCAAGGCUUCCCAGCAGGCCUACGUUCCUCCCCAGCGCAAGGCUUCCCAGCAGACCUACGUUCCUCCCCAGCGCAAGGCUUCCCAGCAGACCUACGUUCCUCCCCAGCGCAAGGCUUCCCAGCAGGCCUACGUUCCUCCCCAGCGCCAGUCUUCCCAGCAAGGCCUACGUUCCUCCCCAGCGCCAGUCUUCCCAGCAGGCCUACGUUCUUCCCCAGCGCCAGUCUUUCCAGCAGGCCUACGUUCCUCCCCAGCGCCAGUCUUCCCAGCAGGCCUACGUUCCUCCCCAGCGCCAGUCUUCCCAGCAGGCCUACGUUCCUCCCCAGGGCCAGUCUUCCCAGCAGGCCUACGUUCCUCCCCAGCGCCAGUCUUCCCAGCAGGCCUACGUUCCUCCCCAGCGCCAGUCUUCCCAGGAGGCCUACGUUCCUCCCCAGCGCCAGUCUUCCCAGGAGGCCUACGUUCCUCCCCAGCGCCAGUCUUCCCAGGAGGCCUACGUUCCUCCCCAGCGCCAGUCUUCCCAGGAGGCCUACGUUCCUCCCCAGCGCCAGUCUUCCCAGCAGGCCUACGUUCCUCCCCAGCGCCAGGCUGCACCUUACAAGCCACUAGCCCAGAGUGUUCAUCCAGAGAGCAAAUGGUUGAAGGUCUAGCCAAGCGGAGACAGUAGCUGUUGAGUAGACUUUGCUUUCUUUGUGUAUAUAUUCUUAAAACUAGUUUCUAAUAUGUCUUAUUUUCUUAUCGGUGCAGCAGGUGUCUGAGGAUUUGUUUUUUUCUUAAAUAAAAAGAAUGACUUAUGUGUAACUUCGCCUCAACUGUGUGACUGCCAGGUGUAUGGAUGUAGACUUGGUGCCAUCUACUGUCUAAAAGGGUGUAUUGCAAAAAAUGUCUUAAAAUUCUCAUACUAGAUCUAAACUCACAGAUUCUGAACGAUCAAGUUUUACUUGAUACAAAUGUUGCCUCCAUAUGCAAAUGCUGACUUCCAAGUUUUGAUCUUUGGUAAACUAGUACAAGGGAGACUCCUGCAAUGUGCAGCUGGCUUACAAGAUUUACAAUAUCUGAAGCUUGACUCUUUAGCAAAAGGUUUUAAGUGUUGGUUUACUUCACAGCCAUCCUUUUAGAAUCAUGGCUUUUAUCAUGUGUGGGGAAACGCUCAAAACAAGCUAGCACAAUAGCUUAGUGACAUCAUAUUGACUUUUUUAAUAAACCCGGCUGUCAAAUGAAUCAGUGUUAAAUUUGACCACCUUUGCUGCUUCGUUAGAAUCUUGUCUCUCAAAUCCAAAGAGUUGGUAUAAAUACUAAGUUCAGUCUUAAAGGCUCUUGGUGUACUUGAGUACACAUUGUCAGGCAGAAAAUAACAUUUAUAUAAGCUUAAUGUAAUUUAUCCUCACUGACUUUCUUGUGUAUCUUCUCCAACUCUUUCACCUGUAGUCUAAACGUUCCCUCUGUAAACCUUGAUUCCAAUAUGUCAAAGUGACAAUUUGACCAUCUUGAACAUUGACAUGUUCAGAUUUCUUAUCUUGGAAUGUAGCAAAUGAACACUGAGGGCCUUGUUUUCAUAUUAAACACAAAAUAUUGUCUUAAUAUAAGAUAUGCAAAUAUACUUUUUAUAAUUGCUCUAUUUGAACUUCAACUAUUUUCUCAGUUUAUGUAAGCACCAAUAAAUCUAGUCCUGAUUGUCGUCUACUCUAUUUUGGCGUUGGGACAUUUCUUGAUGCGUUGAACAACCAAACAUCUGUUUACAU
rnacentral:lncRNA from 1 species